GGGUUGUGAGGUUAAGCGACUAAGCGUACACGGUGGAUGCCCUGGCAGUCAGAGGCGAUGAAGGACGUGCUAAUCUGCGAUAAGCGUCGGUAAGGUGAUAUGAACCGUUAUAACCGGCGAUUUCCGAAUGGGGAAACCCAGUGUGUUUCGACACACUAUCAUUAACUGAAUCCAUAGGUUAAUGAGGCGAACCGGGGGAACUGAAACAUCUAAGUACCCCGAGGAAAAGAAAUCAACCGAGAUUCCCCCAGUAGCGGCGAGCGAACGGGGAGGAGCCCAGAGCCUGAAUCAGUGUGUGUGUUAGUGGAAGCGUCUGGAAAGGCGCGCGAUACAGGGUGACAGCCCCGUACACAAAAAUGCACAUGCUGUGAGCUCGAUGAGUAGGGCGGGACACGUGGUAUCCUGUCUGAAUAUGGGGGGACCAUCCUCCAAGGCUAAAUACUCCUGACUGACCGAUAGUGAACCAGUACCGUGAGGGAAAGGCGAAAAGAACCCCGGCGAGGGGAGUGAAAAAGAACCUGAAACCGUGUACGUACAAGCAGUGGGAGCACGCUUAGGCGUGUGACUGCGUACCUUUUGUAUAAUGGGUCAGCGACUUAUAUUCUGUAGCAAGGUUAACCGAAUAGGGGAGCCGAAGGGAAACCGAGUCUUAACUGGGCGUUAAGUUGCAGGGUAUAGACCCGAAACCCGGUGAUCUAGCCAUGGGCAGGUUGAAGGUUGGGUAACACUAACUGGAGGACCGAACCGACUAAUGUUGAAAAAUUAGCGGAUGACUUGUGGCUGGGGGUGAAAGGCCAAUCAAACCGGGAGAUAGCUGGUUCUCCCCGAAAGCUAUUUAGGUAGCGCCUCGUGAAUUCAUCUCCGGGGGUAGAGCACUGUUUCGGCAAGGGGGUCAUCCCGACUUACCAACCCGAUGCAAACUGCGAAUACCGGAGAAUGUUAUCACGGGAGACACACGGCGGGUGCUAACGUCCGUCGUGAAGAGGGAAACAACCCAGACCGCCAGCUAAGGUCCCAAAGUCAUGGUUAAGUGGGAAACGAUGUGGGAAGGCCCAGACAGCCAGGAUGUUGGCUUAGAAGCAGCCAUCAUUUAAAGAAAGCGUAAUAGCUCACUGGUCGAGUCGGCCUGCGCGGAAGAUGUAACGGGGCUAAACCAUGCACCGAAGCUGCGGCAGCGACGCU
rnacentral:rRNA from 1 species